UACGGAGGGUGCGAGCGUUGUCCGGAAUCACUGGGCGUAAAGGGCGCGUAGGCGGCUCGUGAAGUCAGUGGUGAAAGCCCAGGGCUCAACUCUGGGUCGGCCACUGAUAUUCGCGAGCUCGAGUUUGGUAGAGGCAGAUGGAAUUCCGGGUGUAGCGGUGGAGUGCGUAGAGAUCCGGAAGAACACCGGUGGCGAAGGCGGUCUGCUGGGCCAAGACUGACGCUGAGGCGCGACAGCGUGGGGAGCAAACAGG
rnacentral:rRNA from 1 species